UUCAUUUUAUUUUCUGUUUAAUAAAAUUCUCUAGCUUCCAGAGUCUUCUCUCAGACGCUCCUCCUUCUCUCUAGAUUCUCUGUCUACAUUCUUCAUGAUUUUUUGGUUUAAUCUCAUUGUUUACAUGGUAUUAGAGCCUAGACGACGAUCCGACUAUGUUUCUCCGCAUCUCGUUGUCUUGGUUGAACUCUUCUUUGAGAUUUUUGGGGAUUUUUCUGAGACCUUGUGGUCGAUGAUAAUUCCGACCUUUACCCUAUUUUUUAAAUAAUUCGCAUCUCGUUGUCUUGGUUGAACUCUUCUUUGAGAUUUUUGGGGAUUUUUCUGAGACCUUGUGGUCGAUGAUGAUUCCGACCUAAAUCAGAUGCCUUUCCGAGUUUUUCAUCAUGAUAUCUGAGUGUAUUUUCUUCUCUCGAACGUUCUGGGAGAUUUUCUGCUGAUUUUUGGGUGAUUUUUCGGUGACCUAUCGGCUUCUAGGGUUUCUGGUGGUUUAACCUAGAGUUUUAUGCUAUCCGGUGGAUCGAUCCUCACUCAGUGGAUGUUUAGAGUGACUUUCCGACAUCCCUCCCCAUAUUUCCAGUAAGGUUUUCAACGGUUGCACCUAGGGUUUUGUACCUAGGGUUUUCUCUGACUGAUUGAAGGCCGAUCUUCUCUGGUCGCGAAGAAGAGUUUUACUGCUAUCCGGUGGCUCGAUUCUCACUCAGUGGAUGUUUUGGGUGUCUUUCCGACAUCCCUGACCACAUUUCCAGUAAGGAUUUCGACGGUUACACCUAGGGUUUUGUACCUAGGGUUUUCUCUAUUGUUUGAAAGCCGAUCUUCUCCGGUCGCGAAGAAGGAGGGUAACUCUGUCCUUAUCUUGAGUAGUGUAUGCUUUGUGUGUGAUUAUCUGACUCUGUAUGUGAGUAUCUGGUGUUGUGUGUGAAUACCUGAUUUGGUUAUACUUUGUUUGUUGAAAAACUAUUUUUUUAGCCGGUUCAUUGAUUAUGGCUUCUAACACAAAUGCUGGUACUCCUCCUCUGUAGACUCUUUUAGUGUUUUGUGUGAAUACCUGAUUUGGUUAUACUCUGUUUGUUGAAAAACUGUUUUUUAAGCCGGUUCAUUGAUUAUGCCUUCUAACACAAAUGCUGGUACCUCCUCCUCUGUAGACUCUUCUAGCCCCCUUUUUGUAUAUUCUUCUGAUGUCCCUGGGGUUUCUCUUGUUCCCACUCCCUUCUCGGGUAGUGGUUAUGGGGGCUGGAGGCGUAAGAUGGUUGUUGUUUUAUCCGCUAAAAAUAAAAUCGAUUUUGUUGACGGUUCGUGUCCUCGUCCUGCCACUAAUGUGGCUCAACAGAGACUGUGGGACAGAUGUAAUAACAUGGUCAUUUCCUGGUUGACCUCCUCUCUGUCUCCUCAAAUUGCUGAUAGUGUGCAGUAUUCCGAUACUGCACAGAGUAUAUGGUCCCAAAUUGAGAAAAGAUAUGGUACCCCUAACAGGACCAAUAUUUUUGAAUUAAAAAGGGAACUUUCCCACACAUCUCAAGGCUCCUUAGACAUAGCCUCAUACUUCAACAAGCUCAAAGGCUUGUGGGAGAAUUUUUGAAUUAAAAAGGGAACUUUCCACACAUCUCAAGGCUCCUUAGAUGUAUCCUCAUACUUUAACAAGCUCAAAGGCUUGUGGGAUGAAUUGGGCACAAUGUGCACAAAUCAUGGGCAGAGAUGUGUGUGUGCUGCCAAAAAUGAAAUACUUGAGGAAGAUGAUGAAAACAAGGU
rnacentral:lncRNA from 1 species